GACAGAGGAUGCAAGCGUUAUUCGGAAUGAUUGGGCGUAAAGCGUCUGUAGGUGGCUUUUUAUGUCCGCCGUCAAAUCCCAGGGCUCAACCCUGGACAGGCGGUGGAAACUACCAAGCUGGAGAACGGUAGGGGCAGAGGGAAUUUCCGGUGGAACGGUGAAAUGCGUAGAGAUCGGAAAGAACACCAACGGCGAAAGCACUCUGCUGGGCCGACACUGACACUGAGAGACGAAAGCUAGGGGAGCGAAUGGG
rnacentral:rRNA from 1 species